rnacentral:rRNA from 1 species
GUGGGGAAUCUUAGACAAUGGGCGCAAGCCUGAUCUAGCCAUGCCGCGUGAGCGAUGAAGGCCUUAGGGUUGUAAAGCUCUUUCGUGGGGGAAGAUAAUGACUGUACCCCAAGAAGAAGCCCCGGCUAACUCCGUGCCAGCAGCCGCGGUAAUACGGAGGGGGCUAGCGUUGUUCGGAAUUACUGGGCGUAAAGCGCACGUAGGCGGACUGGAAAGUCAGGGGUGAAAUCCCGGGGCUCAACCCCGGAACUGCCUUUGAAACUCCCAGUCUUGAGUUCGAGAGAGGUGAGUGGAAGUCCGAGUGUAGAGGUGAAAUUCGUAGAUAUUCGGAGGAACACCAGUGGCGAAGGCGGCUCACUGGCUCGAUACUGACGCUGAGGUGCGAAAGCGUGGGGAGCAAACAGGAUUAGAUACCCCAGUAGUCC